rnacentral:misc_RNA from 1 species
GAAACAAACAAGCAGCGCAUCGCCUUCUACGACCCCCAUCUCGGCCGAAAGCUGCAGGCCCUGACCUUUUCACUCGCCCACGGAGGCGGGACGUGGUAAAUUAUUUUCGGUGCCGUAGGGGAAAGGAAAGGGCGACCCCCUACACUGCGAAGACAACGGGCGAUGUAUCACCAGAGAGUAGAUUGCCUGCUGCUCCCCAGCAGACGAGCAUCACGAGGGCAUCACUGUGACGCAUUUGGGGCUACGUGGAAGACAUGCGCUUCGAUGCCCUUCUUAACGUUCUAUUUUUUUUGUUUUGUUUUUUUUUCAGGAUUCGCUCCGCGUCGGGCAUUGGCAUACAUCAUGAUCUUGCCUCUGUGGGGCGACGCGCAGUAGGCCUCAAAGGGCAUAGAACUCACCGAAAACUCCGUGGCGGUGUUGCCGCUGCCCUACGGUGCUCCGUCUGUAAUGGUGAAUCUCUACUGUUACGGUGUCUCAGCCUGCUUCAGUAACCUCCACCGCAUGCGUCGGCAGUGGCCGCUCGUUGACCAUGUGCGCCGCAUGCACACUGGUGAUUCCGCCACGCCAGCAGAUAGGUGCGACUCACUGCUUUUUCGUGGUGAUGCUCGGUAUGGCCGGGCAGAUUGUGCUUUUAUGCUGCUACACCUCCAUCCACAUUCUCACGGCGCGAAGGCAGCGCCGCUCAGAUUGGUCGGUGCGGGGUAGGACAUCAGGCAGUCAUUUGCUGCGGCAACGCAGUUUGUCGUUCGGCUUAUUGCUUUGCCGCUUGUGGCAUGGUCACUGCCCGAGGGUCGUAUGGUUCAGCUUUGCUAGCACCUCGCGCUUAUCGUGUCGGCGAUUACGGCGGGUGUCUCCGUGUACGUGCUGCCUUGCGUGCACAUGACGUACAGUGAGGACUGUGACCUGAACGCCGAGGGGGUGGCGGUGGAGGGCCCGUGCGACUGCCUCUGUUCUCGACGCAGCGAUGGUGGCAGAGUUGACGGCAACUGCAACGCAGACAGCGGAGAGAAGGAAGACCGCAGAAGCACGUGGACGUCGGUGGUGGCUUCGUUCUGCACAAAUCCUCUGCGCGACUCGUUUGUAAACACGCCGGAAGCGAAGCGGGAUAACGGGGAAGCAGUGCGCGACCUACAGCGGCAAAGCGCUCGUGCGGUGGCAACGGCGACGUCCCUCGCCAGGGCGAAUUGUGGGUCUCUGCUACACGAGUAGGGACACUACACAGUGGAGCCAUCCGUGGGGCUGCCUCACGCACCCAGAACGUCAUUGCUGCAAUGCACAACGCCCUUUUUUUUUCAGGUCACUCGGAACUGAUAUGAACUACCGUUCGGGCGUCCGCAGGAAAGAGUCAAGAACCGACCCCGCCUCCUUGUCGCUUGCUGCUGCUCACGUUGGAGACGUGGACGUUCCUUCCCUCAUGCGCGUGCCCUCCGAUGCCGCGCUUGAGAUGAGUGCAGUAGCCUCUUGAACAGUUGCUUGCAGACGACACUCUCGCGGGGGGGGGUUCUGUAUCGACGUCCGUCUCUUACUGGACGCUCAGGUGUCCCUGCCCACCGCGGGUACACGUACAUGACAAAUCG